AUGAUUUUUGGAUGCUUUGAGGUACCAUUGGUUCUUGUACAGAGGAGACCGAGAGGAGUAUUACUGUGUUAUUAUGACCAUGUAGAUGGAUCCGGAACGGCGGUUACUGUCACAGCUGGUUUCGGUUCCCUGGUGUCCCGGAGUCCACCACUCCAAACCUCUGCUGCGGGUGACACCGUUACAUUAAGCUGUGAAUACUCAGGGAUCUGCCAGUACACAGUUUACUGGUACUGUCAGUCCCCAGGCCAACCUCCGAAAUAUAUGCUUCAAAGACACACCUCAGGAGAGCAGAAUAAAGAAAAUGUUGCAGGCGGACGAAUUUCUGCUUCUCUUGACGCUGCGGCGAAAAUCGGUUGGUUAAUGAUCUCGCAAACACAACUAAGUGACUCCGCUGUGUAUUACUGUGCACUGAGUCGGCUCUCAGCCCGCACAGUGAUACACAUUACGGAGAGACCCGCACAAAAACCUGAACAUGCUAGGAAUUACAAACAGAGUGCCACAGAUCACGGAGACAGAUCUAAAAUACCUGAAUAUGGGGUGAUUACAGACACAAUAAUACACAGCACGGAGAAAGAUUUCAAGUAA